rnacentral:rRNA from 1 species
UACGUAGGGUGCGAGCGUUGUCCGGAAUUAUUGGGCGUAAAGAGCUUGUAGGCGGUUUGUCGCGUCUGCUGUGAAAAUCCGGGGCUCAACCCCGGACUUGCAGUGGGUACGGGCAGACUGGAGUGUGGUAGGGGAGACUGGAAUUCCUAGUGUAGCGGUGGAAUGCGCAGAUAUCAGGAGGAACACCGAUGGCGAAGGCAGGUCUCUGGGCCACUACUGACGCUGAGAAGCGAAAGCAUGGGGAGCGAACAGG